GUGGGGAAUCUUCCGCAAUGGACGAAAGUCUGACGGAGCGACGCCGCGUGAGUGAAGAAGGCCUUCGGGUCGUAAAGCUCUGUCAUCAGGGACGAACGGCCGGUGGAGUGGAAAGCCACCGGAUUGACGGUACCUGAGAAGGAAGCCACGGCUAACUACGUGCCAGCAGCCGCGGUAAUACGUAGGUGGCAAGCGUUGUCCGGAAUUAUUGGGCGUAAAGCGCGCGCAGGUGGGAUCUUAAGUCCAUUUUUAAAGUUCGGAGCUCAACUCCGUGAUGGGAUGGAAACUGGGAUUCUUGAGUACCGGAGAGGAAAGGGGAAUUCCCCGUGUAGCGGUGAAAUGCGUAGAUAUGGGGAGGAACACCAGUGGCGAAGGCGGCUUUCUGGACGGUGUCUGACACUGAGGCGCGAAAGCCAGGGGAGCGAACGGGAUUAGAAACCCGGGUAGUCC
rnacentral:rRNA from 1 species